AUUGAACGCUGGCGGCAGGCUUAACACAUGCAAGUCGAGCGGGGAAGGUUGCUUCGGUAACUGACCUAGCGGCGGACGGGUGAGUAAUGCUUAGGAAUCUGCCAUUUAGUGGGGGACAACAUUCCGAAAGGGAUGCUAAUACCGCAUAAUCUUUACGAAGCAAAGUGGGGGACCGUAAGGCCGCACGCUAUAAGAUGAGCCUAUGUCGGAUUAGCUAGUUGGUAGGGUAAAGGCCUACCAAGGAAACGAUCCGUAGCUGGUCUAAGAGGAUGAUCAGUCACACUGGAACUGAGACACGGUCCAGACUCCUACGGGAGGCAGCAGUGGGGAAUAUUGGACAAUGGGCGAAAGCCUGAUCCAGCCAUGCCGCGUGUGUGAAGAAGGUCUUCGGAUUGUAAAGCACUUUAAGUCGGGAGGAAGGGCUGUAAGUUAAUACCCUGCGGUUUUGACGUUACCGACAGAAUAAGCACCGGCUAACUUCGUGCCAGCCGCCGCCGUAAUAC
rnacentral:rRNA from 1 species